CCUUUGGAGCAACAUAUCAAACUGGAGUAGUCUUAUGACAAAACAGGUUGCGUUGAAUAAGGAA
rfam:Clostridium pasteurianum DSM 525 = ATCC 6013, complete genome.